rnacentral:lncRNA from 1 species
GCCAGAGUUCUCAUGGGAAGGCACCAUCGAAGGGCAUAGAUAUGACAUAAUUCUACAGGUCGAGGAGUUUCGCAGACAUAACUCCUUGGGAGCAGUGCCCAGGUCAAGAAAGAAAAUGUGGCCAAUGCCCCAGGAUCUUAUUUGGUCAUCCAGGCUGGACUGCAGUGGUGUGAUCAUAGCUCACUGCAGCCUCAAACUGCUGGACUCCAGUGAUCUUCCAGCCUCAGCCUCCCCCGGUAGCAAGGACUACAGGUCUCACUCUCUGUCGCCCAGCCUGGAGUGCAGUGGCAUCAUCUGAGCUCACUACAACCUCCGCCUCCCGGGUUCAAGCGAUUCUCCUGCCUCAGCCUCCUGAGUAGCUGGGACUACAGGCACGCGCCACCACGCCCAGCUAAUUUUCGUAUUUUUAAUAGACAUGGGGUUUCACCAUGUUGGCCAGGCUGCUCUUGAACUGCUAACCUCAAGUGAUCCACCAGCGUUGGCCUCUCAAAGUACUAGGAUUACAGUGCUAGGAGCCACCAUGCCCGGCCGCCUCUCUUUUCUUUUACACAUGAAGAAAAAGUGGUCAGAGAAGUUAACUUGGUCAGUGCCAAAAGCACUGGAAGUGAGUAGGACCAAGCUUUUCAUCUAGAUUUGUUUGUUAGACUCUAAAUCCAAAUUCACAACAAGAUCAGAAUAUGAGAAACCUAAGGAACAAAAUUCUAGGAAUCAUUUCUAGAAACUGUGGCUAUUGAAAAAGCACAGACCUAGGGAAUCAAAUUAUUUUCCCUGCCACCAGCACAUGGGUAGGCCUGUGACAAAUUCCAUGCUCUGGACCCCAGAUUCCUCAGUGAGAAUAGAAGGGGCUAGAGACAUCAGGGAAUUGGAUUUGGUGACUUUAAUACCCACUCAGCUCCAAAGCAUUCUUGAAUGAUGCACGAUUUAUGAAUAUAUAUAUUGAAAUUUACUGAUGGGUGAACAGCUCUCAACAUGAGAUUUUUGUUGUAUGCCUUAAAAAAGAUUAUACAUAAAUAUGCGUGUGUGUGUGUAUGUAUGUUUCGAUGUAUAUGAACCCAUGAUCUGAAAAAUGGCCACUGUGGCUUGUGGAAACCUAUUAAUCUCUGCUGUUCCACCCAACAUCCUCAGAGAAAAAAAUAAACAACUUUUUGAAAGUGCUGCCAUGGGGUCAGACCAAAUACUGUGGCCACUUCCAAGGGGUUUGCCUUGAUUUGCCUGGAUUCCUGUUCAUGUGACAUCUGCCUUCUAAUUCAAGGAUAUGAUCAAUUCAAUGUGUGAGUUAUCAAUCAAGGACUGGCAACAGUGAUGCUGAACAAGCCUGGUGGAAGGAAAGAGAAGGCAGGCCAGAGCCCAGACAGACGCAUUCACAAACCUUACAAAGAGGACAGGCUAAUUAGGGGCUGUAGUUCUCCCUCUCUUUAUAGUUGGUAUAAGAGGAGUGGUAAUCGUAGUGUCCAAAAAUAUAUGGGCUACAUAGUUGCUUAGUAAGCUGUGGGUAUGUGGUUUCUUCUGCAAGGUGCUUUCUUUCUGAUAAAGAGAUUACGUUGUUUGUUUGUUCAUUUAUUGAACAUAUUUACACUUACACACACACACACACACACACACAAUGUUCCAGAUACCGUACUUGGCAAUGGUAGUUAGACCUUGCUCUUGCAAAAUUUAUAAUGAAGUUGGGAAGUGUGGUUUGAUCCCUCAAAGUGUCCAAAUCCUAAUCCCCAG